rnacentral:misc_RNA from 1 species
ACAAACUUGGUCAUUUAGAGGAAGUAAAAGUCGUAACAAGGUUUCCGUAGGUGAACCUGCGGAAGGAUCAUUAAUUAUUUUACAAGUGAAUUUCCCUUGGAGGGUUUGAUAAGUGUUCCUUUAGGGGGGGUGCUUUGAAAAUCUUGAAAAAUUUGGGGAAAUUCCUUUAGAAUUUGUGAAAAAACACUUUUUUCUCUUGUAAAAGAAAAAAAAAGAAUGUUGACAUGAAAAAAGCUUUAGAGCUUUUUUUUUGAAACUUUUUAAAUCAAGAAUCUUUAAAAAAUUUGGUAUUUCAUUUUUACAAAUUGUAAGAAUUUUGAAAUUAAAAAAAACCACUUUUGACAACGGAUCUCUUGGUUCUCGCAUCGAUGAAGAACGCAGC